UCGGCUCACUGUGGCCCGUUCAGUUUGGGCACGACGGCUUUAGCAUCUCCUCGCCCGAAGAAAACCUAGAUCAGGCUCCUUUGGUGCUCACGGUCUCCGCUCCGUUCGAAUUGGUAGAAAGAGAAGAGAAGACGACGAAGAAGAAGAUGCAGCAGCUCUCCACGCGACCGGUACGCUAGUUUAAAUGGUCCUGUGGAUGUUAGGAUCCCGAAUAGCACGAUGACUUCAGUAAUUGAUGCUGAUGGUGGCAAUAUCCAUGAUCAUCAGGAUCAUUUGCUGUCUAUUUCAGAAUUGUUGAACUAAUUGAUAUACGGUUCCCAGCUAUUCACGGAUGGUGCCUUUGUAAGCUGUGAAGCCUGUACAUUUCAGUAUUUAGAGUUCAUGCGACAGGGAAUGUUUCUAGCUGAACCGGGAUUUUGCUGUAGCAAAGCACACAUAUUACAUGCCUGACUCCGCGUGGUAAAGGACCAAUUUGUCGAGACAGUUAUCGUGCAUUGCUCUUGGAUUGCUGCCGUUGGAUCCAGUGAUUAACACAAAGGAUAGUUGGUGCCUUUCACAAUGAUUAAUGUGUAAUUAUAGUCGACAGAGGUUACUUUGAUUAAAGAUGCACAUGAAAUCUGAAGUUGUACAGCAUUUGCUCCACCACCAAAGAAAGAAACUCUUUUUGAAGUCUGGUAGAA